rnacentral:misc_RNA from 1 species
AAAGUUUGGUCACACUCCAAAACUUUAAACAUUCUUUUGCAGAGACGGUGACAACGCCUUGUUUGGAUAACGGAACCAAUAAAUGCCAUAUUUUGGUGACAUGAAUUGAAAAACAACCAUUUUUCUUCAUCUUCGAGUUAGAAUAUGCUCUAGUAUCUACAACUAUAGUAAUGCAUACAAUACUCUAAUGAGAAAACGAUCUAUG